rnacentral:rRNA from 1 species
CGGAACGUCCUGUUGACCGGGGACGAUACCGGGGGCUUAUGCCCCUGGGCCGGUUGAAUCCCACCCGUGUCUACAUACUCUUGUUGCUUUGGCAGGCCGUGGCCUCCACUGUGGGCUUUGCCUGCAUGUGCCUGCCAGAGGAUCAAACUCUGAAUUUUAGUGAUGUCUGAGUACUAUAUAAUAGUUAAAACUUUCAACAACGGAUCUCUUGGUUCUGGCAUCGAUGAAGAACGCAGCGAAAUGCGAUAAGUAAUGUGAAUUGCAGAAUUCAGUGAAUCAUCGAAUCUUUGAACGCACAUUGCGCCCUGUGGUAUUCCGCAGGGCAUGCCUGUUCGAGCGUCAUUAUAACCACUCAAGCCUGGCUUGGUAUUGGGGUUUGCGGUUCCGCAGCCCCUAAAAUCAGUGGCGGUGCCGGUGUGGCUCUACGCGUAGUAAUUCUUCUCGCGAUGGAGUUCCCCUGGCUGCUUGCCCAGAACCCCCCAAUUUUCACAGGU